AUAGACCAUUUUCAGCCUAACGUUUGUAACGUAACACCAUAACUACAAUCAAGUUCUGCCUCUCCUAGGAGAAAUAGCAUGACUCUGCUGCCUGACUUCUGAGCAUCUCUGCCUGAACAUCUGAACACCCUGGUUGCUACCAGAUCAAGUCAUUUUGUCAUGUCCAUUAGGCCUGGUUUGCACUGUUACUGUGGCCAGUGUGAAAGCAAAGGUCUCAGCUUCCCGCAACUCUGAUCUCAAUCCUUCUGAUUUUCUUUAAUUUUUUACUGUGAUGGAUGCUGGAGAGAGUACAGCAAAUCCCUUAAGAGCCUGGACUGUGACACCUGCAGUGUGUUCCUUCAUCUCUGGCCUUCCAUGUACAAGGUUGUUUGCAGCAUUUAUGGACCUUUGGGAUUCCUGACUUACUGAUGGUGGAUUUACGGUAUAAUCCAAUGGUUACCCCAGUACAGGAUGCAGAAAAAAACUCACCCUAACACAGAACAUGUUCUCAUUAUGGGUGGAAGCAACAGGCAUAGGCUGCUGAGAACCCAUAUGAAAAAUGCAUGAUGGGAUAGAUCUUGCUGGUUAAACUGGGGCAGAAGUCAGACUUCUUUCUGGAUUAUGCCCCGCUCACUCCUUUGGAAAAAAAUAUUAUAUUAUGGAGAGAGACACAAGACUCAUACUGGGAGAUUCUAAUGAAACUUUGUAAUAUGAGGAGUUUUUGGAACUUCUGAAAGCCUUGGUCAAACACGUGUGCCUUUAAGUUGAGUUGCAGACCUUUCUAUCCUUGCCCUGGUUUCAUUGAUAUUAUAACACCAAAAAAAAUAUUCUGAAAUAUCUGUCAUCCAGAUUAAUUUCUGUGUUCUCUACAUCCUUGCUGCUCAACAUGUGGUUUCUGAACCAGCAUUGUUGUAAUCUCUCACACAUUUGUUAGAAACGUAGACUCUUAAACUUUACUGUAGACUUACUGUAUCAGAAAUUGCAUUCUCAAAUGAUCUCCUAGUCAAUGGAUACACAUUUGGCAAACAAUGAUCUAUAUUACCACAGCAUUCCAAGGGGCCAUAGGUACUCAGUAGGGAGUUGGUUCUGACAUCCAGUCAUAAUGAGGUGGGUGAGAAAUUUCAUUAGCCAAUGAAAAAGAAUGGUUAAGUCAGAAGACCCUGAAAGGUUUUUCUUGUCCAUCUCUUAAGGCAAAAUGCAAGCCAGAAGCAAGGAACAGCCUUGGGGAGGAAGAGGGCUUCAUAUUCCAAUGAAGACACAUUUGGAGUGAUCUUAAAUGAGAACCAAAUUCAUCAGCUUUAAUGAAAGUCUGAGAAAGUGAUGGAAUUUUAAGAUUAGUACAAAGUAGGUGAACACUGUAAGAUUUUCCAUCUGGGUCUAGGGAAGAAUUUGGGGUAAUAGCCAUUUAUGUGCCAUACUGCCUAAGAAUUCUUUGCUUUUGUGCAUGAACACUGUUUGCAGAAAUAAACCAUUUUCCUUUUU